GAAAGCGGUGCUAAUACCGAAUAAGACCACGGUAUCACAUGAUACAGUGGGAAAAGGUGGCCUCUGUAUAUGCUAUCACUUAGAGAUAAGCUCGCGGACCAUUAGCUUGUUGGUAGGGUAACGGCCUACCAAGGCUAAGAUGGUUAGCUGGUCUGAGAGGAUGAUCAGCCACACUGGAACUGAGACACGGUCCAGACUCCUACGGGAGGCAGCAGUGGGGAAUAUUGCGCAAUGGGGGAAACCCUGACGCAGUGACGCCGUGUGAGUGAUGAAGGUCUUCGGAUCGUAAAGCUCUGUCAGAUGGGAAGAAUAAAGGCAGGGAAAAUAUUUCUGCCUGAUGACGGUACCAUCAGAGGAAGCACCGGCUAACUCCGUGCCAGCAGCCGCGGUAAUACGGAGGGUGCAAACGUUGUUCGGAAUUACUGGGCGUAAAGCGCAUGUAGGCGGAUAUGGAAAGUCAGAUGUGAAAGCCCUUGGCUCAACCCAGGNAAGUGCAUCUGAAACCACAUGUCUUGAGUAUGACAGA
rnacentral:rRNA from 1 species